UUAAUGGCAGUGAAGAGGAGAGUAGUAAAGGAUAGUCGCUUACAGAGAGAUAAUCAGUUGGUGAGAGAUUAUCAGCGUACGCCUUUAUGAAAAUCACCUCAGAGCUAGAUACCUGAAAUAAUAGUAGGGUAUCUCGCAGAUAUGCGUUAAAUUCUAAUGAGUGAUAGGAAAUUUAUCCUAUAAUUUGGGUGGUACCGCGGAAAAAAUCCGUCCCUAAG
rnacentral:ncRNA from 1 species